rnacentral:rRNA from 1 species
UACCAGCUCUCCGAGUGGUAGGGAUGAUUAUUGGGCUUAAAGCGUCCGUAGCCGGCUUGGCAAGUUUCCUGUUAAACUCUGCGACUUAAUCGUUGAAUCGCGGGAAAUACUACUAGGCUAGGAGGCGGGAGAGGUCAACGGUACUUCUGGGGUAGGGGUGAGAUCCUAUAAUCCCGGGAGGACCACCAGUGGCGAAGGCUGUUGACUAGAACGCGCUCGACGGUGAGGGACGAAAGCUGGGGGAGCGAACCGGAUUAGAUACCCGGGUAGUCCCAGCUGUAAACGAUGCGGGCUAGGUGUUGGGAUGGCUACGUGCCAUUUCAGUGCCGCAGGGAAGCCAUUAAGCCCGCCGCCUGGGGAGUACGGCCGCAAGGCUGAAACUUAAAGGAAUUGGCGGGGAGCACCACAAGGCGUGAAGCUUGCGGUUC